CCUACGGGAGGCAGCAGUGGGGAAUAUUGCACAAUGGGGGAAACCCUGAUGCAGCGACGCCGCGUGAGUGAAGAAGUAUCUCGGUACGUAAAGCUCUAUCAGCAGGAAAGAAAAUGACGGUACCUGACUAAGAAGCCCCGGCUAACUACGUGCCAGCAGCCGCGGUAAUACGUAGGGGGCAAGCGUUAUCCGGAUUUACUGGGUGUAAAGGGAGCGUAGACGGCGAUGCAAGUCAGGAGUGAAAGCGCAUGGCUUAACCAUGGUACUGCUCUGGAAACUGUAGAGCUUGAGUGCAGGAGAGGUAGGCGGAAUUCCUGGUGUAGCGGUGAAAUGCGGAGAUAUUAGGAGGAACACCGGCGGCGAAGGCGGCCUGCUGGACCGUAACUGACGUUGAGGCUCGAAAGCGUGGGGAGCAAACAGGAGUAGAUACCCUAGUAGUC
rnacentral:rRNA from 1 species